GCAGGCUACAAAUGCAAAGUCGAGCGGAUGAGAGGAGCUUGCUCCUCGAUUCAGCGGCGGACGGGUGAGUAAUGCCUAGGAAUCUGCCUAGUAGUGGGGGACAACGUUUCGAAAGGAACGCUAAUACCGCAUACGUCCUACGGGAGAAAGUGGGGGAUCUUCGGACCUCACGCUAUUAGAUGAGCCUAGGUCGGAUUAGCUAGUUGGUAGGGUAAAGGCCUACCAAGGCGACGAUCCGUAACUGGUCUGAGAGGAUGAUCAGUCACACUGGAACUGAGACACGGUCCAGACUCCUACGGGAGGCAGCAGUGGGGAAUAUUGGACAAUGGGCGAAAGCCUGAUCCAGCCAUGCCGCGUGUGUGAAGAAGGCCCUCGGGUCGUAAAGCACUUUAAGUUGGGAGGAAGGGCUCAUAGCGAAUACCUGUGAGUUUUGACGUUACCAACAGAAUAAGCACCGGCUAACUUCGUGCCAGCAGCCGCGGUAAUACGAAGGGUGCAAGCGUUAAUCGGAAUUACUGGGCGUAAAGCGCGCGUAGGUGGCUUGAUAAGUUGGAUGUGAAAUCCCCGGGCUCAACCUGGGAACUGCAUCCAAAACUGUCUGGCUAGAGUGCGGUAGAGGGUAGUGGAAUUUCCAGUGUAGCGGUGAAAUGCGUAGAUAUUGGAAGGAACACCAGUGGCGAAGGCGACUACCUGGACUGACACUGACACUGAGGUGCGAAAGCGUGGGGAGCAAACAGGAUUAGA
rnacentral:rRNA from 1 species